AGGGCACACGGCGGAUGCCUUGGCACCAGGAGACGAUGAAGGACGCGGAAACCUGCGAAAAUCCACGGGGAGCUGGACUCGAGCUUUGAUCCGUGGGUGUCCGAAUGGGGCAACCCGGUGGGCGUCAUGGCCCAUCAUCGUACGCUGAAUACAUAGGCGUGCGAAGUCAACGCGGGGAACUGAAACAUCUAAGUACCCGUAGGAAAGGAAAUCAACUGAGACUCCGUGAGUAGUGGCGAGCGAAAGCGGACUAGCCCAAACCGUUGGGGUAACUCAACGGGGUUGUGGGGCUCCGACAUGGGAUCUGGAGGACUAGCAGAACGGCUUGGGAAGGCCGGCCAGAGCGGGUGACAGCCCCGUAUGCGAAAGUCCGAGAGACCCUAGGAGAACCCCGAGUAGGGCGGGGCACGUGGAACCCUGUCCGAAGCUGGGAGGACCAUCUUCCAAGGCUAAGUACUCCCUGGUGACCGAUAGUGAACGAGUACCGUGAGG
rnacentral:rRNA from 1 species